AAGCUCGUCGCGGGCCAGCGGCAUGCUGCUUCACUACAAACCGAUGGGCUCCCAGGAUGCUGAGCAGCUCCGCAUGGAGGCAGCAGACGACAAGAAGGUGGCCUCGUUAUGGUUAGCUGCGAUGCACAAGGCGGCCAAACUCCUGUAUGAAGCUCGUGACCUGUGACCUGCAGACGGCCUUCUGAACUGACCCUCCAGGCAGCACACACCCAAGUGUUCGUACCCCCGUCUCUCCGGGGGGGGUUUUCGGUAGAGUUUUGCUUUUAUUAACGCCAGCUCUGAUUCUGCGUUUUCCGUCUGAUCUUUCGGCCUUUCGAUGACAUUUUUUUAUUACGGUAAUCUCAGCAAGACACGUUUAUACAAAUGAGAAACACUUUAUUACCUCUUUAACCAGUACUUUGUACCUGUUUACUACAAUGAUGCUGAAGAUCUCAUUUUACAUUUUGUCAAAGUUUGUCUCUGAUUGAAUCAGGGCGUUUAAUGUUCCUGACAGCUGAGCAGCAGAAGACGCUUAACAACACCAGCAAGUAUCUGAUGCUUUUGCGACGCUUCUUCCUUUAAAUGUAUUUUGCUUUCACUCUAAAUGUGACAUUUUACCUUCCACAUAACAUUUUUUUAUAACUUCAGAGAUGCCUUCAGAUAUAGAGGCUCGGUCGAUGACUUUAAAUGCUGCAGUUAGACGACGGUUUUAUUCACCAGAUGUGACACUUUAUGGAUCCCUUUUUUUUUUUUUUAAAUCUUUCACUUCGCUGACUCUCCUUCCAGAGUGUUUUCACUUAACGGUUAAACCAGUUUGAACACAGAUCUUCCAGAUUAAACAUCAUCUUAUGCAGAGUAACGGACAGAUCCACCUUUAACCCUUUAAAGCAGAAAGAAAAGCAGCUGUAGGUCAUGUUCUUUGCAUUUCAGGGCCCAUUUUGUUAUCAAUCUAAGAGAGAAGAUAAGAAACUUCACCGGAUCUGUCUGUGUCACGUUCCAAGUGAUUGGCUUUCAAUUUUGACACAUUUUAAUGGUUUUUCUGGUGUUUUUAUUAUUCUUUACAGUCACAUCAAAAAGCUGUUUGCUUCGAUGUGUUAAAAGGAAGAAUGUGCGACUGUUUGAAUCCACUAGAUGUCGCCCUUGAGCUACAGUAUGAAACCAAAACAAUCAGCUGUUUGGUGACACCUCCUCCAGACUGAACAUAUAUUUUAAAACCAACGACCAAUAAAUACAAUUUAAAAACUCCCACGAGUUAAUUUCACAUGUUAGAUAAACUAAUGAAACCUCACCUAACCAGGUACAAUCAGUUUUUUAAAUAAUACCAGAGUGUGAGGAGUUCAAGUCAAGUGCUUAAAAUCAAAGUGAGGACUUCUUUUUCUACAUUUGUUUAAACUUUCAACAAACAUAAAUCAUUAAAAUCAACAGAAAAGAGCCACACAGAAAGCCCUUUAUUCCCUCGCUGGAGCAGCAGGUGGCAGUGUUAAGGAGUGAAAGGCAUCCUGGGAAAUGUAGGAUGCCCUAAGUGAAGCCGAGGCAGAUUGAGGGAAUAUUCCUGAAAUGCAAAGAACAUCAGAUUUAUCAACAAUUUGUAAACAAAAUGUUUGUUGCUUUAAAGUAAAUGAGUUAAUAACAUGUUAGGUGACGUGUUUUGUUGAUUUUAAAACGUGUUAAAAUCUCUGCUUUAGUCUUUACAGAUGCUACCUUUAGGACUCGAUGUCUAAGGAAACAAACUAUUCACUGAUUCUAGUGAAGCACACACACACACACACACACACACACACACACACACA